rnacentral:rRNA from 1 species
AACGAGCGCAACCCCUAUCUUAUGUUGCCAGCGCGUUAUGGCGGGGACUCGUAAGAGACUGCCGGGGUCAACUCGGAGGAAGGUGGGGAUGACGUCAAGUCAUCAUGCCCCUUAUGUCCAGGGCUUCACACAUGCUACAAUGGCCGGUACAAAGGGCUGCGAAUCCGCGAGGUGGAGCGAAUCCCUUUGAAAGCCGGUCUCAGUUCGGAUCGGGGUCUGCAACUCGACCCCGUGAAGUUGGAGUCGCUAGUAAUCGCAGAUCAGCAACGCUGCGGUGAAUACGUUCCCGGGUCUUGUACACACCG